GCAGAUGAAGGUGUCUGUUUGUGCAGCUGCACCACGCGUUUCAUCUCUCUGCACUCCUCCCAGCGGCCAUGAUGAACCUAUGCUGAGCUUCCUCAGAGUGCGCUGUCAAGGCUGCAUCACGUGCAAGCAACAUCUCUCAGAUAGGAAUCUGCCCCACUUUCGUCUGGCCACAGAGACUUGCAGGAUGAGCAGACCCCUGUCUCUCCUCGUAUGGAUGUACACACUCUUAUAAGAAUUUAAGGUCUCAAAAAUAAAUUAAACAUUCAUAAAUUUACAAGGCAAACACAUAAGUAUAUAAAACAUGUGUCUGAAAUAGUACAAUCCUGAAGCCAUUUUGACUCCCAGUGGCCUCAAAUAUUCCUCUGCAGUAGGGAGGAAAAUGGGGAAAGCCUUCCCUUUGUCUUUUUGCUUGCAAAUCCUGUCUUAAAGGCGUAUUUGUGUAUGACUAGGGUGAGCCUGUAACCUGGAUUCAGGAACUAAACUAUUAACCAUCACAAAAGAAUGGCCAGGCUGCCCAGGUAAAGCAGCCAGUGACCAUUAUCAGGUAUCCUGGCGGACAGGAUUUCUGCUGUAGACCGCCUCCUUCUGUGAUGUAUGUAUGUUGUUGUUUUUUUUGGGGGGGGGGGGUCUUGGGCUACAGGAUGGGCAAUUUCAAUAUUUUCUGGUUGGCCUCUGUUAUUUUCUCCUCCCGAAAGGAAACCUACUUAAGGACUAGACGGGCUCUUGGAUACCUCAUAAGGGAAAAGGAGCAGUUUUUUCCUAUAAUGACACUAUCAUCAGUUGAGCUGAAGGCACAGGAGAGCAACAGGGAGAACAACGUGCCAAAGAGCAUUGGGGCGAGAACACAGCCCUGUUUCACACCACUUUUCCAAGGAAGGCAUCCGAGGCUACUGGAUGGCAUGAUAAUGGGGGGGGGGGGCGUGAAAAGUCCCUUUCGACUGAUGAGGUCCAAGGCCUUUGUUGUGGGAUGUGAUACAUAAGUGGUGUUGUUGUUUAGUCAUUUAGUCAUAUCCGACUCUUCGUGACCCCCUGGACCAGAGCACGCCAGGCCCUCCUGUCUUCCACUGCCUCCCCCAGAUUGGUCAGACUCAUGCUGGUAGCUUCGAGAACACUGCCCAACCAUCUCGUCCUCUGUCGUCCCUUUCUCCUUGUGCCCUCCAUCUUUCCCAACAUCAGGGUCUUUUCCAGGGAGUCUUCUCUUCUCAUGAGGUGGCCAAAGCCUUGGAGCCUCAGCUUCAGGAUCUGUCCUUCCAGUGAGCACUCAGGGCUGAUUUCCUUCAGAAUGGAGAGGUUUGAUCUUCUUGCAGUCCAUGGGACUCUCAAGAGUCUCCUCCAGCACCAGAAUUCAAAAGCAUCAAUACUUUGGCAAUCAGCCUUCUUUAUGGUCCAGCUCUCACUUCCAUACAUCACUACGGGGAAAACUAUAGCUUUAACUAUACGGACCUUUGUUGGCAAGGUGAUGUCUAGCAGUCAAGUACAACAUUCCUUGUUUUCCUAGAGUGGACAUGCGGGGGAAUGUUUGGUGCAGCCAGUUGAAAAUUUCCUGUUUCCUCCUGGCUGGGGCAUACUUCAUUUGCAUGUGACUAGAGGUGGGCGUGACCUAACCUGUCCAGGUAAUAAAAGGACGAGUCACGCAGCACUCACUCUCUCUCUUUGACUUCCUCCGUCAUUGGAGUAGCUUUUUAGCUAGAAAUGCUCUAUUGGUUUUCAUCCAACAGAGGACGCUGGGAUUAUCCCCAUAUGGGAUAGAUCCACAUGUAACUAAGUCUGCCUUCAGGGAUUCAACUGUGAACUGAUGAUGUGAGUAAACUUAUUUUAUAUACUUUAAACAAGAUUGUGGCGUGUUUAUUCUUUUAAGAGGGAUAGAAGGGAACUUACCAGGAACCUAACAGAGGCUCACACAAGCCUGCAACCAGCUAUCUGCUGUGCGUUUAAAAGGGGAAAGUGAAACUCUGCUAAGUAAAGGAACUUGCUAGUGCAAGUCAGGAAGGAUAUUAACAAUAUAUCCUCUUCUGCCUCCCUGAACAUUCCCACAUUUGUCAGGUCUACGAAGGCGAGGUAUACGAAGGCGAGGGCAUCCCUGCUCCUGUUAUGCCAUACUAAAAUGUCAAGUUCCCACAAAUGUGGAUCUUAGGUGGAGCUUGUAACCCGGCCAGUUCUGCUGGUGAGGCAUUUAUGGGCUGAGGUGAUGUUGCAGGUAUUAUGUAUUCCUCGAGAUACUGAGGGCCACAUGGAGGCUUCUCGAGGCCAAAAAUAGGGCCUUGAGUCCCGUUCAGAAGAAACAAACUGCAGAACCAAUUGUGUCACUUUAGAACAGGCCGUCAUUUAGAACAGCAGCUUAAGUUUCCUGAGGGCAGGUCCAUAUCCUUUGCAGUCACCUCACCUGGUGCUAAAAGCUGCAAAGGGCCACUUCAGUGGGGCUAUUGCUGCAGCUAAGUCAAUCUCAGAAAACUCAGACCCUGCAUAAUUUCAAAUUUUGCAUGGCUGACCUAGACAAAGCAUGCAACCAUGUCCUUUAGAAAAACCGCCUGAUUUCCAUAUACAUUGCUGUGCAAAUCACACGGCUGGUUUGAAGGCCAAAGUUCAACUGUGGAAUAAUUUCACCCUUUUUGACUCAAAUCUGUCAUGAGUUCAAGUCACUGAGCAUGUCUGAUGGUCAAGCACCAGUCUCUGAAUCAAAGUGGGUAACCGCCUCUUGUUCCUGUUCCUGUUUUAUUAUUAUUAUUAUUAUUAUUGUUUUAGGCAGUGCCUAUUUCUGGAGUUGUGGGACUCACUCAGAGCUUCCUAGUACUUUGGAGAAAUGGGAGAUUAAUGGGAAGAGAGAGAGAUAACUGCCUCUUGUUUCUGUUCCUGUUUUUUAAUUUUAUUUUAGGCUUUUCAUCUUCAAAAGGGCUGAAGUGGUGGCCUCAUUUAUACCUCAAACUUUCUUCCUUUAAAAGCAAACAUAAUUUUCCAGGUGUAUUUGUCAAGGCACUUGCUAGCAAGGAUGGAGAAUGUUAAUUCCCCCUCUUGCCUUGGUUAGGUUUCAAGCCAGAGCUGCAGGGGGAAAUGAAAUAGAUUUAAUUUGUAUCAGAAAAUCCCUGAUUUUCGUGGAUGAAGAUAUUGCCCUGGCCAUAACUCGUCAGAACCAAAAUUCCCUCAGAAGGUAAAGAUCAAAUCAAAAGAACUCUUGAUAUUUUUGUGGUUGGUAACUCAUUUAAUGAUUGUUCAAAUCAGAAAACUUUAUUGGAUAUCACAUUCGUGGGACGGCAUCUAGAACAUUGCCUCACAAGAAAAUGUCACAUGGAACAUGGGAUUUUUAUCUAAAAAAAAAAAGAAACUGGACUCUUUUGUGGCGUUUUGAUGGGACUUUGUUCAAUCUACCAAUGAUGAGCAUCUAAAUCAGUGCCUCUCACUGGUUUUGUUUUUUUUAAUAUUUUUUAUUUGUUUUCCAUUUAACAUUAUACAUUCACAUCAUCUUUAUGCACUAUACUGCCUUGGCUCUUAGAGCCUAUAGAAUUCCUUCCCUCCUGCCUCAUGGCUUUCAAAAUUAACCUUUAUAUCAUUGCAAUUUACACGUUUUCCAAUUCUAAUUACACUUAUUGCAAAAGAUCUCAAAAAUUUAAAUAAAGAUAGAAAAUUUCUCAUUACAAGUCUUCAGGCAAUCCUGCUAGUGAUGUUAAUUGCUUACCAUGAUCUUUCAGAUAUCGUAUGAAUUUACUCCAGUCAUUUUGAAAUACUUGAUCAUGCUGGUUUCAGAUUUUUCCUGCCAGCUUCGCCAGUUCUGCAAAGACUGUCAUCUUCAUCUGCCCCUCUUCUCUUCUGACUGGUUUUGAGAGAAAUAUGGGUGUGAUAAGACUUUCUUCCUGGACUUAUUCCUAUUCAGUGAUAUAUAUAUUUUCCAGAUUAGUCAGUUGCCUUGGAGAUAGGCACGCACUCCUCUGCCUGCUAUGUUUUUUUGUCUUUCCCUUAUUUUGUAUUUGUUACAUCUGUCUAUCUAUCUGUUGUAAUACUGAAAACCUU